GUGGACAAGUCUUUCUUCGAAGAUCGAGUGCUUAGAAUGGGACUGUGUAGUAACAUGAGAUACAGUUUCAUUCAUUGAGAUUUGGAGCUGCGUAAGCCAGAUACAAACUGGGAUGAGGCAGUCUACCUUGGAGAUUCAGGGCAAACUGGAAGCAGCAACAACUGUAGAAUGGCAGGGCAGAUAGCUAGCCCUAAGAGAACCGGCCAACCAUCGUUCGUUCCAAGGAUUUGCUCG